rnacentral:rRNA from 1 species
GCAUAUCAAUAAGCGGAGGAAAAGAAACCAACAGGGAUUGCCCUAGUAACGGCGAGUGAAGCGGCAACAGCUCAAAUUUGAAAUCUGGUCUUCGGGCCCGAGUUGUAAUUUGUAGAGGAAGCUUUUGGCGCGGUACCUUCUGAGUCCCCUGGAACGGGGCGCCAUAGAGGGUGAGAGCCCCGUAUAGUUGGAUACCAAGCCUGUGUAAAGCUCCUUCGACGAGUCGAGUAGUUUGGGAAUGCUGCUCAAAAUGAGAGGUAAAUUUCUUCUAAAGCUAAAUACCGGCCAGAGACCGAUAGCGCACAAGUAGAGUGAUCGAAAGAUGAAAAGCACUUUGAAAAGAGGGUUAAAUAGCACGUGAAAUUGUUGAAAGGGAAGCGCUUGUGACCAGACUUGCGCCGGGCUGAUCAUCCGGUGUUCUCACCGGUGCACUCUGCCCGGCUCAGGCCAGCAUCGGUUCUCGCGGGGGGACAAAGGUCCUGGGAACGUAGCUCCUCCGGGAGUGUUAUAGCCCAGGGCGUAAUGCCCCCGCGGGGACCGAGGUUCGCGCUCUGCAAGGAUG